rnacentral:rRNA from 1 species
GCGCACGGCGAAUGCCUUGGCACUAGGAGCCGAAGAAGGACGGCACUAACACCGAUAUGCUUCGGGGAGCUGUAAGUGAGCUUUGAUCCGGAGAUUUCCGAAUGGGGGAACCCACUACGUUUAAUCGCGUAGUAUCUUGACGUGAAUACAUAGCGUCUUGAAGGCAGACCCAGGGAACUGAAACAUCUAAGUACCUGGAG